rnacentral:misc_RNA from 1 species
GAUGAAGAACGUAGCGAAAUGCGAUAAGUAAUGUGAAUUGCAGAAUUCAGUGAAUCAUCGAAUCUUUGAACGCACCUUGCGCUCCUUGGUAUUCCUUGGAGCAUGCCUGUUUGAGUAUCAUGAAAUUCUCAAAGUAAAUCUUUUUGUUAAUUCAAUUAGGUUCACUUUGGAUUUGGAGGUUUUUUGCAGCUUCACACCUGCUCCUCUUUGUGCAUUAGCUGGAUCUCAGUGUUAUGCUUGGUUCCACUCGGCGUGAUAAGUUAUCUAUCGCUGAGGACACUUUUUUUUUGUUUUUUUUCUAAAAAUAAAUAAAUAACUAAGUGGCCAAGGGAAAUGCAGAUGAACCGCUUCCAAUAGUCCAUUAGCGUGGACAAAUAUAUUUUUAUGAUCUGAUCUCAAAUCAGGUAGGACUACCCGCUGAACUUAAGCAUAUCAAUAAGCGGAGGA